ACUGCAUCCUGCAGUGAGGUGAUGAACUAAAUGAUUCUGAAUUUUCAGAGCCUAUCACUGACCAUGGAAACUGCUCCCUUACGGCAAGUGAGGCACUAUCCCACCAAGCUCAGUCUGCAGCCACCUGCCAGCUGCCUACCUCCUUACUUAGCCUACUUAGUCCAGAGGAUGCUGGUCCUGACUGUCAGCUUACUUCUCCUUGGAGUCAGUGUUGCUUCGGUAGAGCUCAAGAAGGAGGAGGAUGAUUGUGGUGUUCAUAGGGAGCCCCCGGUCAUCUCAUGGACUAUUGACCCUUACACCACUAAUCCGCUGCCACCAACCAGGUCCUCCCUGGUAAAUCACUUAGUCUCAGUCAGGUUCUUAAGUUAACAAAGAAGAGUGUAGUUUAUUGCAGACACAAAUAUACUUUAACUGCAUUCAAAACGUUGUUUAUCUUUACCUUAUUAGUCUUAUUGUUACCUUGUCUCUAACUCUUCUACCUCCCCCCACACAAGAACCAACUGCACUAACUGUCUCUCUAAUUCCAACUGUCUGCUAACUGCUUUCCCAACUGCCUUUCCCAACCAACCAACCCACUAAAACCAACCAACUACCCACCUAACCCAAACCUCGGGUGAAGCCCUUUUAUGAACAGGUAGGCUCUGCCUCCGGCUUUCCUACUGGUCUACAUAUUAACCCUUUCUCUCCCCCUAUACAGACAUUUUCAAACAAACAGGCAAACAAUUAGUGGCUAUGCUUUCCUUUGUUAUGUCUCCACGAAAAACUGGCCUCCCUGUCUUCUGCCCUACCACCUCUAAUGAGUGCCAGCUUCCAUUAGUCUAUGACUUCCCAUGGCUAAAAUCUGCACACCAAACAGAGGAGGAUGCACACCUCCACCAAUUCCUCCUUCUCAUUACCAUUGCCUGCUUCAAAAAAAAAAAAAAAAAAAAAAAGCUUUGACAAACAAGCACAGAUUCACUCCUACACAAGGGGGCAAUUGUGAAGGGAUUAUUAAAUUAUUUUUCGCAGCAGAUGAUCACGUUCAGUGAUAAGCCUAUGACAAAACUGUUGAACAUUUAAUUUCCCUGAGAUGUGAAGACAGACAGAUGACCGAAUAGAAAAGGGGGUGUAUGAAAGGAAGCUUGUAAGAUAUCCUAAUGGUACUCAUUUUAAAAACUGCCAUCAAACGGUGAUGGAUAAUGAAAGUGAUUUUGCUUAGAUAAAUUACAGGAAUGACACUCUGGAGAGGUAGAAUGUACUUUCAUUUAUUAAAUGAGUGAGUUAGUGCUAAUGCAGAGGCUUAGCACUGAAAUGUGCUAAUACAUUCAGAGAACUGGAUUCAGAAGGUGUGAAGACAGAUUGAACAUGUGUAUGGGGGAAGAGAGAGAGGGAUUCAUUUUGUAACCAUUUGAUUUAAGCAUGUUAAGGAUGGGGUGAGAUUCAUAGGUCUGUAUCACCACCAGUGAAUUAUACCAGAGUGAAAAAAGUAAGAUGGGGAAAGAAUGGUAUUUCGGCUGCUUGCUUCCUCAAAUUGAAUGGAAUUUUAAAAUUUUAUAGACGAGAUGUUUCCAAUGAUCUCUCAUCCGUCACUCCGAUAUAGUCAGCCCCGACACUGCAGACAUUUUGUGUCAUUGUUCAACUUGUACAGAGCUGCCAGCAACACAUAUUACAUAUUUAUCAAAUGCUGACAAUGCAGGUCUAAUUCUAUGCUUAACUCAAUCUGCUGUCUUGGCAAUGCAGUAGAACAGGAAUUGUCUUUGUCUGGUGUGUCUCUGCAAAUUAUUAUAAGCAAAAUAGACUUAGGCUGAUUUUGUCUAAUAAGUGCCGAAGCAUAUAUAUAUAUAUAUAUAUAUAUAUAUAUAUAUAUAUAUAUUAGAUUAUCUGGUAUGGGUUGAAGACUUUGUGGGAAAGAAUGGAGCUCAUAUAUGCUGGUUGCAAACUGGGGCUAGUGUGAUUCGCCAAGUGAAUGUGUGCAAGUGUGGGAAGUGUGACCAAUGACCAUUGAUGGGAUUUUCCAUGUUAAUCUGUCACUACAGAUAAUUAACAGUGAAUAAAGAAUGUGGUCAGAGAUGCACAACCUCCAUGAAAUUUUUUAUGCAUUACUCACAAUGCAUAGUCCCCAAAUGUAGAAAGGUAGAAAAGUGCAUUGAUGGGUUAAUGCACACAGAAUGCAAGAGUCACUGCUUACUGUACUUGUGCAUACCCUCCAACAACACUUGAAGACUUUGCACAUUUUGAUCAGGUAAUGUGUGGAAUCCAUUUGUAAGUUCAGCAUUGCUCUUUCUCUAAAGUGAUGGCAAACAAAUAUAUGGGUGAACCUUGCUUUAUAAAUUACUUGAUAAACAGGGCUUUUUAAAGAUGUCGUUCAUAUUUGUCACUUGAUGGCUUCAACCAUCAAGUGACAACUUGCACAUGAGGAUCAUCCAUCACAUAUCUAUCAAAACUAAAAUAAUUUUCAUAUUGUUUAAGAUUUAGUUCCUCCCAUGGAUUUGGUUCUGACAUUCAGCUGACAAUGCAUGUUCCUUAACUGAACAAUGAGAAAUGAAGGAAUAUAUAUGCAUGUGUGAACAAGUUCUGAAGCUGCACAUGGGAAUUACUUCUCUAUGGUAAGAGCUGCAUUCAACCUGUGUGGUGAUCAUUAUAUAGAAUGAUCACAUUUGGUUUAUCUCAAUACAAAUUUGUAUACCACCUUUCCAUAGUUAUGCAAGAUACAUAUCCUGGGAAGCUGUGACUGGCUGUUGGUUCCCAUCACACACACAAAUCUACACAAAAAGCAAACACAUAUUGGUCCACUGUAGUUGACAAGCUACAAACAGGUUGCAUUCUGUACUAGUUCUUGCAGGGAACAAGUGCUUCUUGUAUAAUAAUUUGUCUCCAUCUGAAGAAGCCCAGACCCAUCAAUAGCUGUUACAAAACGACACUGACAUGGAUUUAUGGAUGAUGUACACAUGUCUGUAUAUCACUCAGAAACACAUCCCUCAAUACCUCAUACCUCCAUAACUCACAGGUGACUGUGCAUACAUCCUAUAAAGUGCUGGUGUAAUUCAGCUCCAUUAAAAAUAACUGGAGGCCUGCAGCCAAUGUUUUGGCUAGUAAAUUCCCACACACUACCCUUCCCCUUAGCUACCUAGUCAGUGGACUGUGCAAGAAUCUAUCUUUCUCUCUUGAGCCUCCCUUCUUCUAAUAAGUGAUCUCAGUGUUGCUCAACUCUUUUUCUCCUGUCUUAUCUUGCCUUUCGUCUGCAUGCUUCUUUUUUCCAUGCAUGACCUUUCUCUCCCUCCUCCCUCCUCUCAGCAGUUCCUUUUAGGAUUGGGUGAAUCAGACUGACAUACAUUCCGUGUCAGUUUUGCACGUCUUCAGUCAUAAGCGUAUUCCAUCCCAUUGUCUGCUAAUUAUCCCCACCCACAACACCCACCCACAAACUUCACAUUUAAAUUAUACACACAUUUGUAUGCCUUUUCCACAUAAAAUUCUCAUUUUGCAUGCAUUUUAGGAACUGAAACUGUAGUACAAUUUUUUGAUAAGUGCACAAUCAAUUUCUUAACUGUGUGUGUUCCAAUUUGUGCACAGCUCUGAAUUGUGUUGGCUUAUUUUAAAAUGUGCAAUGAAUAAAACUUUCCCCACAUCCUUAGAUUCCCCCCUCCAUGUUAGUAAUACACUCACACACAUACACCUAUCUCAGGUUCUCUGUCUCAUCUUAGGUUGCCACAAACACAACUUUUUUAUUCGUAAGUCAAUUUAAGAAACUCCUAUAUGGACAGAAAAAGUGAGGGGUGUGUGUAUAUAUAUAUAUGAAUACAUAAAUCAAUCAAUGUGUGUGAAGUGACACUUAAAUUCUUCUUGUGGUUUUUGAUCUAUGGUGAGCAACCUCAGCCUGCUCUCAGUCAGCCCCUAUCUGCCUUUCUCCUUGCUUUUGUCUUGAGACACUAGCCUAGGGGGUAUCAGUGCAGAGAGAAAGGUAGGGAUAGGAUAGUUGGUUCCAUCUGUCAUUGGUUCUGGCUCUGGCUCUGCCCAUCAUGGGCUCUGGUGUUACACAGUUUGUUUGUUUUUUAACUGCCUUCUGCCCUAGCAGUCCCAAUGGGUACCAGCCGCCACUGGAAAUCAGUGUGUGUGAAAAUGCUUACCAAAAACUAAAGUAUCACAUUCAAAAUGUCUUCUAUGCACCGCCUGUUUUGUUAGGAGCCAAAUUUGUACACAGGUUGUUUGAGAUGAGCUACAGAGAGAGUUUUGGAUUUGAUAUCCCGCUUUAUCACUACCCGAAGGAGUCUCAAAGCGGCUAACAUUCUCCUUUCCCUUCCUCCCCCACAACAAACACUCUGUGAGGUGAGUGGGGCUGAGAGACUUCAGAGAAGUGUGACUGGCCCAAGGUCACCCAGCAGUUGCAUGUGGAGGAGCGGAGACGCGAACCCGGUUCCCCAGAUUACGAGACUACCGCUCUUAACCACUACACCACACCGGCUCUCUACAGCACUUUAAGAAGCCGAAUCAUAUUUGCUUUUGGUAGCACUUUUAAAAUAGAUGGAUGCUAGCACCACUAUAUACUCUUAUAACAAAGUUGUGAGUGUCGAGAGUGGGAGUAACAGCAACUCUCUUCUGCAACGAAUAGGGUAAUAAUUCUCAUUAUCACCACAUUUGCUUCAGUAAAUGUUUGUUGCUUUGUGGCCAGCUUUCUACAUUCCAGGGGUAUGUGUGUAAUUAUUAUGUCUUCAUGAUAAAGGUGACAUAUUGUGAAACACUCAAUUUUCUGAUUUUAAUGCUGUUUUUAAUAGGGUGUGCAUCAGAAUAACUCAGUUAUUAUAAAGCUCAAUAGACUGUAAGCUGCUUCAUGGAAUGAGGAUACACUUCUGCAAAAAAUAAUAAUAAUUAAAAAGUGCUAUGCUAUAGUAAAAGCAACAGAAGGAGAGUUUUAUUUUUAAAAACGUAUUUAAAUCAUUUAUAUGCAGCUUUGCUAGUGCUCCUAACGUCUUCCAUAAAGCACACACAAUUUUUUAAAAAGUCUCAGUAUUAGGAUGGAAUAGUGUGUCUUGCAUGAUGUGGCCUGAGGAAGAAGAUUAAGUUCAAAUCUUCAAUCAUAGGGUAAUGUUGUUGACUUAUACAAAAACUUUGGGGUCUCAAGCCCGUGGUUGGAAGAGUCAGAGGUAAAAGUGGGUGGUACUAGAGGCAAAGGUUUGUGGCAAAAGCAGGGAGUGCAAUGGAUGCAAUCCUUGCAUUUAUACAUUCUAGCCACAGAGAGAGGUCAGAGGUUUCUAGACACACAGAUAUACCUCUCCAUCCCCUUCCAAAGCAAUAGGUGUUAAACAGCAUAGUCUAGCCAGGGAAAAGCACUUAAGGUGGGCAUGGAACAGGUCUGGUCAGUGGAGUGGCUAGGGGAGAGUCCUGAGGGCCUGGCUGCAUUUUCAGUGAACAAAAU